rnacentral:rRNA from 1 species
GUCCAGCAGCCGCGGUAAUACCGGCAGCCCGAGUGAUGGCCGAUCUUAUUGGGCCUAAAGCGUCCGUAGCUGGCUGCGCAAGUCCGUCGGGAAAUCCACUCGCCCAACGAGUGGGCGUCCGGUGGAAACUGCGUGGCUUGGGACCGGAAGGCUCGAAGGGUACGUUCGGGGUAGGAGUGAAAUCCCAUAAUCCCGCACGGACCACCGAUGGCGAAAGCACUUCGAGAAAACGGAUCCGACAGUGAGGGACGAAAGCCAGGGUCUCCAACCGGAUUAGAUACCCUUGUAGUCC